rnacentral:rRNA from 1 species
GACGAACGCUGGCGGCGUGCUUAACACAUGCAAGUCGAACGGAAAGGCCCUGCUUUUGUGGGGUGCUCUAGUUGCGAACGGGUGAGUAACACGUGAGUUACCUGCCCUUGCCUUUGGGAUAACUUCAUGAAACUUGGUCUAAUACCGGCUAGGAGCUCCUGCUUCAUGGUGGGGGUUGGAAAGUUUCGGCGGUUGGGGAUGUACUCGCGGCUUAUCAGCUUGUUGGUUGGGUAGUGGCUGACCAAGGCUUUGACGGGUAGCCGGCCUGAGAGGGUGACCGGCCACAUUGGGACUGAGAUAAGGCCCAGACUCCUACGGGAGGCAGCAGUGGGGAAUAUUGCACAAUGGGCGGAAGCCUGAUGCAGCAACGCCGCGUGCGGGAUGACGGCCUUCGGGUUGUAAACCGCUUUCGCCUGUGACGAAGCGUGAGUGACGGUAAUGGGUAAAGAAGCACCGGCUAACUACGUG